UUCCAGACUCCUACGGGAGGCAGCAGUGAGGAAUAUUGGUCAAUGGGCGGGAGCCUGAACCAGCCAAGCCGCGUGAGGGAAGAAGGUACAGCGUAUCGUAAACCUCUUUUGUCAGGGAACAAAGGCGGGGACUAGUCCCCGGAUGAGGGUACCUGAAGAAAAAGCAUCGGCUAACUCCGUGCCAGCAGCCGCGGUAAUACGGAGGAUGCGAGCGUUAUCCGGAUUUAUUGGGUUUAAAGGGUGCGCAGGCGGGGGCACAAGUCGGGGGAAAAAUCGGGGGGCACAACCCCGCUCCGCCGUUGAAACUGUGUCCCUUGAGUGCGCGAAGGGUAGGCGGAAUGCGUGGUGUAGCGGUGAAAUGCAUAGAUAUCACGCAGAACUCCGAUCGCGAAGGCAGCCUACCGGCGCGCAACUGACGCUCAGGCACGAAAGCGUGGGUAUCGAACAGGAUUAGAUACCCCUGUA
rnacentral:rRNA from 1 species